UGGGGAAUCUUGCACAAUGGGGGAAACCCUGAUGCAGCGACGCCGCGUGAGCGAUGAAGCCCUUCGGGGUGUAAAGCUCUUUCGGCAGGGAAGAUUAUGACGGUACCUGCAGAAGCAGCUGCGGCUAACUACGUGCCAGCAGCCGCGGUAAUACGUAGGCAGCAAGCGUUGUUCGGAGUUACUGGGCGUAAAGGGUGUGUAGGCGGUUGGAUAAGUGUGGUGUGAAAUCUCCCGGCUUAACUGGGAGGGUGCGCUACAAACUGUCUGACUAGAGUGUGGGAUGGGAGAGUGGAAUUCCUGGUGUAGCGGUGAAAUGCGUAGAUAUCGGGAGGAACACCUGUGGCGAAAGCGGCUCACUGGACCAUUACUGACACUGAGGCACGAAAGCUAGGGGAGCAAACAGGAUUAGAUACCCUGGUAGUCCUAGCCCUAAACGAUGAUCGCUUGGUGUGGCGGGUAUCCAACCCUGCCGUGCCGAAGCUAACGCGUUAAGCGAUCCGCCUGGGGAGUACGGUCGCAAGGCUG
rnacentral:rRNA from 1 species